UACGGGGGGCAAGCGUUGUUCGGAAUUACUGGCGUAAAGGCUCGUAGGUGGCCAACUAAGUCAGACGUGAAUCCUCGCUACCGUGACUGCUCGUAUACUGAUGUCUGAGCAGCUAGGCUACGACAAUGUGAGCGUGAAUGCGUAGAUAUCAUUGACGCCAUGUGAACAGUAGCUGGCUGUGCUGACACUGAGACACGAAGCAGGAGCGACGAUAGACCUAGUAGUCAGACAGUCUCUGCUACGU
rnacentral:rRNA from 1 species